ACACUGCAGGGAGUAUAACCUUUGGAACACAAUGAAUGACUACACCUAUCCAUUGCUUGAUUCCUGUCAAUCCUCCUCCUUCCUCUUUCCUUCAGAAGGAAAAGGAAUGAGAUAAAUUGAUAUUGGUAGGGAGAGGUAACAGUCAAAGAAGAGGAGGGGUAUAAGAAGAAAGUAGGAAGAGUAGAGGAAAAGAUAUUUGAAGGACUGACUAACUGUUGACGCUCAGUGUUUAUUUGGAACAAGUACCUAUGAUAAAAACUUCAGCGUUUCCUAUCUGAAUAAUCCACGUGCCAGCCACUAUUUUGUAAGAAGAAAAGAAUUAAGACAGUCCUUUACAAAGCUCUCCAUAUGAGCAGCAUAUGUGCUAGUAGCUGGGGGACAGACUCUGCUCUGAGUCACAUCCAGUGUAGCCCUACGAGAGUCACUGAGUUCCAUCAGAUGCUUCUGUGUCUCAGGAGGAGAGCUGAGCAAGGAGCCCAGAAAAACUGCAGCAAUAGCAGGACCAACUUCUCCACCGUUUUCCUGGAGAGGAGCAGCAGAAUGAAGGUCCACAGGCGACAGUGUGCAAUGCAACAGUUGCACCAGCCCUAAAACUGUCUUCCUCUGAUGCCCCAUGAGACACCCGCAGAACAAGAACCUCUCCUCUGGCAGGACCUCCCAAAUGACCCAAAGUGAAACCAGUGUAUUUCUUUGCAUCACACCAUAAACAGUAUUUUUUUGUCUGAAAUAUGUUUUAAGACUGCUUUCUCACCUUGAAUCAACUUAACCAGCUCUGCAAUCUGUAAACAGCUGUCCCUACAACCUGUUGCAAUUAACUUGGUACAGAUUGCAAAACUGCCUUAAGGCUGUUUUCUCACUGUGCAAAUCAAGUUUUAAUGUAAUCUUUCAAUUAUGGUGCAACAUGAAAUGCAUGCCCACAUUUUGGUCACUUUUUACACAUUUCAAUGCAUGUGUCUCACACUGGCAGUUCUAAGGACUGAGAAGCAUCGUUUAUACCAAGCUUUCAGUUUUGGUUUCAGUUCAAUGGAUUCACACUUGGAGUUUCACCUUGACUUUCAGUUUUAAUCAAUCCCACAGAUUGAAAACUAAACAGGCCUAGUUUCAUGUGAAAACCCAUGCAAACUAAGCUUCAAACAAAAGCAUAAACUAGGUCUGUGUUCAUGCAAUUUUUAGCAAGCUGGGCUCAGAUUUGUAAUGCAACCAGGCCAGAUGGACAUGAGUUUAAAUGAAAAGUUUGUACAACUCUGUUCAUCUCAUAUCUUCCACCAAUGAGAAUAACUUUUAAUUCAUUUCUGAAUGGGGCUGGAUUUGAACUGGUAACAUAGAUGAAAGCCUCAUUCUCCCAUUCAUUGACCCAUCUGCAUAUUCUCUGUCACAUAAUUUAAUGGCCCAGAUCUCUUUUUCACUUCUCAAGCAAUGCAAAGUGGCCAGAUUCUGGCUGGAAAUGGCCAGUGAAGAAUUUCCCUUUCAGAGGCAAGCUCCCUUCUGCAAUAAUGCUGGUGGAGCCUGCCCAACCAGCAGGCUCGCCACCCCAACCCUGGUGUAGGGAGCAUGGUGUGGGAGACAGAUGCAGCAGUGCUCUGUUACACUGAUUCUCCACUAGCCUUAGCUUCUCUAAUUAAUACUGGGACAGGCCUGGCACUGAAUCAGUGAGAACUGAACCCAAUAUGUAACUAACCCUAAGGAUGCAAAGGAGAGCUGAGCUGUGCUGUGCAGCUGUCUUCUGUGACACAUUGUCAAUACAAAAAUAAAUACUGAAUUGAAAGAGUACAACCCAAAUGCUCCCUUAUUUCACUGAAAGCGGUCCUAAAGCUUUUCAGGUAUUGUUCAUGUGGUGAUUAUUUUAUGGAGAGCUAAGAGAUUGUUUGACUGAGUCAUAAAAAUUCUCACUUGUCAAAAAUCCCAGCAACUGAUUGUAUGUAUUGUACAUCAUCACAAAUCUGUAGUUUCCUUUAGUAGAAACAUUUAAUUGCCAAAAUAGAUCUUUAGGAGUGAGUGUGUGUGUCAUUCUUUUGUUGUUUUUUAAAUGCAAAGGAUUAACUCAUUUGAAGUAGUAAGUAAUAAGAUUAUAAACAUUCAUCCUAAGUGUCAACAUGUCAAUUUUAGUACACCGUACCAGAGAGAGGCAAUAGUGUGCAUGCGCAGAAGCAGGAAUAUAGGUGCCUUUUACUGCAAAAACAUAAGAGCUGAAUGAGUUUAGGUGCCUAAAGAGUUAGGCAGUAGCCAAGAGGGAGUUUUGUGGAUCGCAGUAGUGGUGCCUAAAAAUGGGAUUUAGGUGUC